rnacentral:rRNA from 1 species
GGAUAACCUGCCCUUGGGUCCGGCAUAACUCCGGGAAACUGGAGAUAAUUCCGGAUAACGCACAUAUGCUGGAAUGCUUUAUGCGUAAAAUGGAUUCGUCUGCCCAAGGAUGGGUCUGCGGCCUAUCAGGUAGUAGUGGGUGUAAUGUACCUACUAGCCAACAACGGGUACGGGUUGUGAGAGCAAGAGCCCGGAGAUGGAUUCUGAGACAUGAAUCCAGGCCCUACGGGGCGCAGCAGGCGCGAAAACUUUACAAUGCGGGAAACCGUGAUAAGGGGACACCGAGUGCCAGCAUCAUAUGCUGGCUGUCCGGGUGUGUAAAAUACACCUGUUAGCAAGGGCCGGGCAAGACCGGUGCCAGCCGCCGCGGUAACACCGGCGGCCCGAGUGGUGAUCGUGAUUAUUGGGUCUAAAGGUCCGUAGCCGGUUUGGUCAGUCCUCCGGGAAAUCUGACGGCUUAACCGUUAGGCUUUCGGGGGAUACUGCCAGGCUUGGAACCGGGAGAGGUAAGAGGUACUACAGGGGUAGGAGUGAAAUCUUGUAAUCCCUGUGGGACCACCUGUGGCGAAGGCGUCUUACCAGAACGGGUUCGACGGUGAGGGACGAAAGCUGGGGGCACGAACCGGAUUAGAUACCCGGGUAGUCCCAGCCGUAAACGAUGCUCGCUAGGUGUCAGGCAUGGCGCGACCGUGUCUGGUGCCGCAGGGAAGCCGUGAAGCGAGCCACCUGGGAAGUACGGCCGCAAGGCUGAAACU